rnacentral:rRNA from 1 species
UACGAAGGGGGCUAGCGUUGCUCGGAAUUACUGGGCGUAAAGGGCGCGUAGGCGGAUAGUUUAGUCAGAGGUGAAAGCCCAGGGCUCAACCUUGGAAUUGCCUUUGAUACUGGCUAUCUUGAGUUCGGGAGAGGUGAGUGGAAUGCCGAGUGUAGAGGUGAAAUUCGUAGAUAUUCGGCGGAACACCAGUGGCGAAGGCGACUUACUGGACACAUAUUGACGCUGAGGUGCGAAAGCGUGGGGAGCAAACAGG